UGGGCUGGCCGGGCGACCGCGUCGUCUCCUGAACGGAGGCGCCGAGGAAGGUCCGGGCUCCACAGGGCAAGGUGGUGGGUAACUCCCACCCGAGGCAACUCGCGGGAAAGUGCCACAGAGAACAGACCGCCUCCCCGGUCCCGUUCAUUCGGGUCCAGGGCGGUAAGGGUGAAACGGUGGUGCAAGAGACCACCAGCGUUCCGGGCGACCGGAUCGGCUCGGUAAACCCCACCUGGAGCAAGGUCAAGAAGGGCCCCGGUCACGGCCGGAGCCCGCGUGCACGUCCGAGGGCUGCCCGCCUGAGUGCACGGGUAGAUCGCUGGAGGCGGCCGGCAACGGUCGUCGUAGAUGGAUGGUCGCCAACCACGGCGCCGCGAGGACCGUGCGAACAGAACCCGGCCUACAGGUCAGCCCAUCCG
rnacentral:RNase_P_RNA from 1 species